rnacentral:rRNA from 1 species
GACGAACGCUGGCGGCGUGCUUAACACAUGCAAGUCGAACGGAAAGGCCCUGCUUUUGUGGGGUGCUCGAGUGGCGAACGGGUGAGUAACACGUGAGUAACCUGCCCUUGACUUUGGGAUAACUUCAGGAAACUGGGGCUAAUACCGGAUAGGAGCUCCUGCUGCAUGGUGGGGGUUGGAAAGUUUCGGCGGUUGGGGAUGGACUCGCGGCUUAUCAGCUUGUUGGUGGGGUAGUGGCUUACCAAGGCUUUGACGGGUAGCCGGCCUGAGAGGGUGACAGGCCACAUUGGGACUGAGAUACGGCACAGACUCCUACGGGAGGCAGCAGUGGGGAAUAUUGCACAAUGGGCGGAAGCCUGAUGCAGCAACGCCGCGUGCGGGAUGACGGCCUUCGGGUUGUAAACCGAUUUCGCCUGUGACGAAGCGUGAGUGACGGUAAUGGGUAAAGAAGCACCGGCUAACUACGUG